rnacentral:rRNA from 1 species
AUUGAACGCUGGCGGCAUGCCUUACACAUGCAAGUCGAACGGCAGCAUAGGAGCUUGCUCCUGAUGGCGAGUGGCGAACGGGUGAGUAAUAUAUCGGAACGUGCCCUAGAGUGGGGGAUAACUAGUCGAAAGACUAGCUAAUACCGCAUACGAUCUACGGAUGAAAGUGGGGGAUCGCAAGACCUCAUGCUCCUGGAGCGGCCGAUAUCUGAUUAGCUAGUUGGUGGGGUAAAAGCUCACCAAGGCGACGAUCAGUAGCUGGUCUGAGAGGACGACCAGCC